UGCCGUGAGGUGUUGGGUUAAGUCCCGCAACGAGCGCAACCCUCGUCGCUAGUUAUUCUCUCUAGCGAGACAGCCUCCCGCAAGGAGGAGGAAGGUGGGGACGACGUCAAGUCAUCAUGGCCCUUAUGUCCAGGGCUACACACACGCUACAAUGGCCGGUACAAUGGGUUGCCAAAUCGUGAGAUGGAGCCAAUCCCACCAAAGCCGGCCCCAGUUGGAAUUGCAGGCUGAAACCCGCCUGCAUGAACGCGGAAUCGCUAGUAACCGCAGGUCAGCAUACUGCGGUGAAUACGUUCCCGGGCCUUGUACACACCGCCCGUCACGUCAUGGAAGCCGAGAAUGCCUGAAGUCCGUGGGCUAACCCGCAAGGGAGGCAGCGGCCGAGGGUGGGGCCGGUGACUGGGACGAAGUCGUAACAAGGUAGCUGUACCGGAAGGUGCGGCUGGAUCACCUCCUUU
rnacentral:rRNA from 1 species